rnacentral:lncRNA from 1 species
UCUCUCUCUCUCUCUCUCUCUCUCUCUCGCUUCCUUCCCUGCUAUAUGGCCCACCCAGGGCAAUGCGGUCCGAAGUCCAUUUAUUAGGGUUUGGUUCCGCCGUAGUGGGUCGAGUUGGGAUUUGAAGGAGAUGUCGACGGUGGGAGAAUGACCUGGGGCCCUGGGGGAGAAGCAGUAUUCUGAGGAAGAAGGAGAUGGAGGUGAGGGAGGUCGAGGAUUUCCCCAGCCUCCUCGCUGUUUUGCGCCGCUUGUUGUUGGAUCUCCUUCGACGCGCUUUCUUCGCUCCAACUGAGGCCUGUUGAUGAUUUUGCAGCCAGUCGUGGUUGGAUGUGGGGUUGUAGCGUGUUGUUUGAUUGUUCUGUCAGCCUCCGUUUCCAGGAUUCCCGCUGAUGGAGCUCCUCUUCCCUGCAAUGACGUCGACCACCCACCUCUUUUAGAGAAAAAUGGGCGGAUUCGAUCCUGUCGCAGGGAGCUCUUUUUAGGGCAUCUUUUUUUUCAUAUUUUUUAUUUUCUUGACUAAAUGCAAAGGAAUGCCCUCUAAUUUGGACCAGAGUUUGUGUCCAGUCGAACCCAAUGCCAUGCUGUGGAACCUAAAUGCUGAAAAUCUUGGGUCACGCUGUGUUGUUCUUCCGUCGAAGUCCAUGCCAUCUGCAUUAUUGCCUUCAAUUCUGUGGAUAGAGACAGUGGUAUAUUUCGUCGGUUCUCCCAGAUUAUUGCUGAUUAUUAUAACUAAAAGAUACCGAUUGAUCUUAUUCAGUUGCCUAGAUAACGCUGUCUUCCGUUUGCUUAAUAGUUGACUAAGUAGUCUCGUGAUUUGGCAAAAAAAUGAGGUCUCCCUUCGUCCAAUUCGAGGCAAGCGCCUCCAGCCAGAGAUUCAAUCGAAUUUAGUUCCAUAUUCUCUUUUCUUGUUCUAUAAUCUUUCUUCCUGCUCCCUGGUUUGAAUCCAUUUUUGCUUCCCAAUGAAUUGUAUGUCAGUUACUGUUGCCGCAAGUUUUUUUUUUUUCUUUAGAUUAGAAUAAGUGGAGUAUAUUGUGCUUAUUUUUUGACCACUAUAUCUGGAAACGCGUGGUAAUUUUGGUAGUACAUCCUUCGGGCACAUCUGGUUGUUCCAGAAGAACACUGACUCUGCCAUCUUUUAUCAUUAGACCGUGUGCUUAUUUAUCAGGAAAAAUAUAGCUGAAAGAUAGCUUGGAAGCCUUGGCUGCCCUGAUGUGGAGAUCUGUGCAGGAAUCCAUAUCUGAAGAUGUUCGUGGCAGAAGAGCGUCUGUUUUAAGUUCCUGCCAUCAGUCGUUUAAUAUGUGCCAAUUUUUACGUGCAUUGCCUUUCAAAAUUUUUCUGUUUAUGCGUUAGAGCUACCCUUAAUUUUAUUGAUUUUUGUCCAUGCAAGAUUACCGUGUUUGACUUUUUUUUCUUUUUUUCCAUUUCCGAUCAUGAUCCUCAGGAUAGAUGGCUGCCCUGGAGUGACACGCUGGUGUGAAACCUUUUUUAGGCCGGAAUUUCAUGUUUUUGGCCUCUCUGCAUGAUAAGAUUAUUUUUCAUUGAAUCUGUGAAAUGGUUGCUGUUCAGCUUCUGUUGUGGACAUUUCCUUUUUCAUAGCCAUGUUCUUUGACUUUUCUUCAAUCAACCUGGAGUUGGAUUCUGUGCCAGGUGUACUAAUAAGGGAAAACAAGCAUGGAAAUAUUCAUAUUUUUAUGUCCAAGAAUUUUUCUAUUAUAAGUUUUUUGAUUGCCUGUUUAACCUAGUUUUUUUUUUCAG